rnacentral:rRNA from 1 species
GUAGGGUGCAAGCGUUAAUCGGAAUUACUGGGCGUAAAGCGUGCGCAGGCGGUUUUGUAAGACAGAGGUGAAAUCCCCGGGCUCAACCUGGGAACUGCCUUUGUGACUGCAAGGCUGGAGUGCGGCAGAGGGGGAUGGAAUUCCGCGUGUAGCAGUGAAAUGCGUAGAUAUGCGGAGGAACACCGAUGGCGAAGGCAAUCCCCUGGGCCUGCACUGACGCUCAUGCACGAAAGCGUGGGGAGCAAACAGGAUUAGAUACCCUGGUAGUCCACGCCCUAAACGAUGUCAACUGGUUGUUGGGUCUUCACUGACUCAGUAACGAAGCUAACGCGUGAAGUUGACCGCCUGGGGAGU